rnacentral:rRNA from 1 species
UACGUAGGGUGCAAGCGUUAAUCGGAAUUACUGGGCGUAAAGCGUGCGCAGGCGGUUCGCCAAGUCAGGUGUGAAAUCCCCGGGCUUAACCUGGGAAUUGCGCUUGAAACUAGCGGGCUUGAGUGUGGCAGAGGGGGGUGGAAUUCCUGGUGUAGCAGUGAAAUGCGUAGAUAUCAGGAGGAACACCGAUGGCGAAGGCAGGUCUCUGGGCUGACACUGACGCUCAUGCACGAAAGCGUGGGGAGCAAACAGG